GGAAUCAGCACUGUGCGCCAUCGGCACGGCACGGCCAUCGCCGGUGCACGAUGACACGGAAGACGUCUCUUUUGGCGAAGACGGCGCGGCCCCCAUGGUCGGUUUUCUCUCGACUGGACUUCUCCUGGAGUGCUAGCUGAUCGGUAAAGAAAGUGAAGACGGAAUUUGGACCUUUUUCGCGCCUACCGUGCAUCGUUGGACGGCGGGCAUGAAAGGCAGAGAGAGUAGUCCCAGAAGAUAAUGUCAGCAAAUUAACAAGGUAAGUUAUUAAUACAUUUAUUUUCCUUUUCAUCUCCAGCGUUGGGUGGGGCAUCUGAUUCGUGAGAUUGAAUUCCCUGCUACGUACGCCCAGCCGGAAGAGAAUCCACCUUUCUCUUUGUCAAUCAAUAAUACUAUUGCUGCCGUUGCAUUGCAUUGGUGGCCUGCUCGUUCAGUUGGGAAUCCUUCUUGAGUUAUUUAACUCUGCUCCUGUGCUUGAUUUACUGUCGGAUUACAUGUCGGAUUUAGUAUUCUAAUUAAAAAAAUAUAUAACUUUCUUUAAUUACUGUAAUUAAAGUGGCCUAUUAGCUUAGCUGGUAAGAGCGUGGUCCUAAUAAGGCCAAGGUCGCAGGUUCGAGACCUGCAUAGGCCAAAUAAAUUAUUAUUUUUUAGUAUACAGGGAUAUUCUCCCGAGCUGCUCCAAAAGGAAGCUCCCAGCGCCCAGAUUCACCUGAAGCUCCAUGCGAUGCUGGGACGUUUCAACUCUGCUCCGUAACUUUGCUUCAGCUCUCUGGCGUGCUGUUAACUUUGCAGCUAAAAAUGUUUAGUGACUGCUGAGCUGAUGCUCAGAACCUUUUUUUUUUCCUUUUCUUUGAGUGCUGUAAAACCCUGGUUUCGUUAAUGCAAUGGAAACGGGAGGCUCGGAGCCUUACGGUAACUUCAAAACACAAUUCAAACAGAAUACAACGCCGUUUUCCUUUGAUACAAA